rnacentral:rRNA from 1 species
GAUCAUGGCUCAGGAUGAACGCUAGCUACAGGCCUAACACAUGCAAGUCGAGGGGCAGCAUGAUUGAAGCUUGCUUCAAUUGAUGGCGACCGGCGCACGGGUGAGUAACACGUAUCCAACCUUCCGCUGACUUGGGGAUAGCCUUUCGAAAGAAAGAUUAAUACCCGAUAGCAAAGGACUUCCGCAUGGAUAUCCUUUUAAAGGUAUUCCGGUCAGCGAUGGGGAGUGCGUUCCAUUAG